UAGGGAAUCUUCCACAAUGGACGAAAGUCUGAUGGAGCAACGCCGCGUGAGUGGAGAAGGGUUUCGGCUCGUAAAACUCUGUUGUUAAAGAAGAACAUAUCUGAGAGUAACUGUUCAGGUAUUGACGGUAUUUAACCAGAAAGCCACGGCUAACUACGUGCCAC
rnacentral:rRNA from 1 species